rnacentral:lncRNA from 1 species
CCAGAGGACACUUGUGGUAGAGCAACUAACUAACUAAUACCAUCGUGUUCAUGAGAGUCUCAUCUUUCCAUCAAGUGGUCAUGUUAGUUUCUAGGCCAAACUGUUCGGCCGCUAGAGUGGUUUUCGUGAGAAGAUAUUCAGGAUGUCUCACAGUGGGACAAACACCGCUGUAGCUUGCCCACCUUCCACCGCAGAUGCAGAAGGCCUUAUGGCGGCUACACGGUUUACGUGUGUAUAUUUACCCGCCUGAAACCCUGGGCUACACAGUUGUUACAGUACACAUUUGAUAGACUUUAUGUUCCUGUUCAAUACUAAUGGAAAUGCUGAUUUUAUACAAAGGUUCUUCUGGCCUUGAUGACACCAAGAGGUUGGCGCCAAACUAAAGAACAGGGCUACCGCACACAAAGCUAUCGUAGACAACCCUGAUGCUACGCUCGAAGACAGGAAUAAGUACAAAAAGGCCUGCUAUAACCUCCGCAGUGUAAUCAAAUGAGCAAAAGAACAAUAUAGGAAUAAUAUUUCACAGGCUCUGACGCCCGCUGCAUGUGGCAGGGGCUACAGUCCAUUACGGAUUACAAGGGAAGACCCAACCGUGAUCUGCCCAAUGACGCCUCUACCAGACGAACACAACGCAUUUUAUACACGCUUUGACAACAACAACAUCGAGCCGGGUGUGAGGGCCGUCACCCACCCAGAGGUUUGGGUGAUCUCGCUCUCACAACAUGGUAUUCCAGGGCACGUUCUCAGAGCAUGCGCAGAACAGCUGGCAGGCAUAUUCACAGUCAUUUUCAACCUCUCAUGGUGGUUGAUGGUUGAUGGAGUUGCAAGGCAUAGAGCAAGGGUGUGCCUGGAUGAUUGGAGUGCAGUUGUGAGGAGCCUUUUGAUUUGUACCCACCUCCUAAGGAUAAGGAGUCUCUUCGGCUUUGGCUCAAAGCAUUGAACUUGAAGAAACCACCAAACCGUGUGUGUGUUCCUGUCACUUCGUGGACAAGAGGCCGACUGAAGAGCAUCCUUUCACUGAGAAGUGGUUGGGCUAUUUUGCUCCAGUACAGACCAGAUGGCGACGUCUCAUCAGGACAUCAACAAAUACAGAUGAAGACAACUGUGAUGAUGCAGAGUCUGAUCUGAGUGUGCCAAUGCAGCAUAAAGAUGCUGAUACUCAAUGGGAGGUUCCAGCACUGACUGAUCACAGCUACAUGUCAAGAGAACCAGUCAACAAGCCCACCUGCCACAAACAAACCCAAUUUUAUUUUACUAGGCAAGUCAGUUAAGAACAAAUUCUUAUAUUCAAUGACAGCCUAGGAACAGUGGGUUAACUGCCUUGUUCAGGGGAAGAACAACAGAUUUGUACCUUGUCAGCUCAGGGAUUCAAACUUGCAACCUUUCAGUUACUAAUCCAACACUCUAACCACUAGGCUACCCUGCCACCCAAUGUGGUAGUGCAGAGCCAUUGACCCAUACCAUCCUGAAGAAUGACACUAGAUCAGUGUUGUAUACUGGCCUUAGUGUUUUCUUUGACCAUGUAGAAUUUCUGAAGAAAUUCUACACGGCUAACUUCAAAAUGCAUAUCACUGAUCAAAUACUGAUAAACUUUAUGAAGCUGAAUCUACUCCAGGGUGAUCUUGCUGAAGGCUUUGCUGUGUCCCAGGGAGUAGUGAGCAGAAUCUUUUCCUACUGGAUUGACACAAUGGAGGAGCACAUGAGGAUCUACAUUCCAUGACUGCCGAGGGAGACAAUCCAGAACACAAUGCCUCAGUGCUUUAAAGAGAAGUUCCAAAACACUGCAUGCAUCAUCGACUGCUAUGAAACCACUCUUCAGAAAGCACACAAUAUCGAUUCCAUAGGGAGGUCAUACAGCCACUAUUAUUCCAGCAAUACUAUCAAGUAUUUGGUUGUCAUUGCUCCAUGUGGACUCAUUAUGUUAAUUUCUCCUGCAUAUGGAGGCAGAUGUAUGAGACGAAGGUAAACCUUGCCAUACCAGCCUUCACUCAGAAAGGAGGCCAGCUGUCUGACGAGGAUGUCACAAGCACGACAAGGAUAGCUAAUGGGCGUAUACAUGUUGAGAGAGUUAUCAAACGACACAAGGUGUUCAAGAAUCCUCUCCCAGACUGUUCCCAUCAACCUGACACACAAAAUGGACAAAGUCCUUAGAAUCUGUGCAGCACUUGUUAACAUGCAGGUUGAGAUCAUCCAUGAGAAUGCAGAGUGAGCAGUGAGAAUGUUCAUACAUCUGAAAUGUGACUUUAUACACUUUAAUGUGUUGUGUGUUUGUGUGUAUGUAUGUAUGUAUGUAUGUAUGUAUGUGUGUGUGUAUAUAUAUAUAUAGUUUCCUGUUUAAUCGGAAUCAUUUUAAUGUUCCUACAUUUGAAAUAUACUGUAACUUUGCCUGUUCCUAAUAAUUACAGGAAUCCACUAGGUGCCGCUAUCAUGCCUUCUUAAAUCUAUUUUAAAUACAUUUUCUUCAACAUCAAAAUGUCUCUAACAGACCAAGAGGGAAGACAACUGUUUAUCAAGUGCCACACUGUUUUGUUCAUUUGUGCUCUUGAAAACCAAACCCAGAAUCAAACUGAAAACACAUUUGAAAC